GCACCGCGGACAUUGCUAGGCUGGCACAUCCUGCCCGCUGUAAUUAACACGCAGCAGCAUCCAGGGCAGCCCAGCCCAGCGGAGCCUGUCCGUCCAUCUGCCAGCCGCUCCUGGGGGUGAGCACUGUACCCCGGGCCUCGGCAGCUGAUGGAGAGGAAGAGUACCGAGCUGGGAGCUGGGAGGCCCGGCCCCAUCUCUGCUCAGCCGCCAGCUGGCAGUGGAUGCUGGGAAAUUUGCACUCUCUCUCUGGGCCUCAGUUUCCCCAUCUGUUAAACGGGAUGAGAAUGGCUGAAAUUGCCCCGGGAGAGCUGAGUUACGAAAACGUCUCGAUUAUUUGCGCGCGUGAGUGUCCUGGUGUGCGGCCCGUCAGACCUGUGCCUUGCACCUGCUAACCCAGCAGCACCAUGCGACGGCGCCGGGAGCCCGGCCGGGAGCCUCCCGCAGACGGUGGGAAGAGAGCAAAACCUUCACAGGCAGAGUGGUCAAAGAAAAGGAAAAAUAAAAGAAGAACGCAGCACUUGGAGGCAGACACUCUUGGGUCCAAAUACCAGCGUGAUCGCUGACUUCACUGAGUGACUUAGGCCACUCAUCUGACUUCUGCGGGCCUCAGCCUACCAGCCUGUAAAAUGGGCACACUGCUGCCUUUUCCCAGGGCUGUGGCAAGGAGGGAGCGAGAGUGGAGUGAGCAGUCGGUUCCCUGCACCAGGCUGCUGUCCAAGAGACCUGCCCUGCUCCCAGGGAGCAUUGCACAAAGAGAGACCAAACAGGAACAGGCAAGCUAGAAAAGUUAAAGGUGAUUCCAGGUGGUGAUCACUGCUAUGAGUCAAAACCGAACAGUGGAUGAGGGGCUGGAAAACGACCUGGGGAUUAUGUGAAGGGCCGGGGGAGGCUUGCCUAAAACCUGAAGGAUAAGAAGGACCCACCCGGGGGAAGUUGGAGGGAGAAAAUGCCAAGCAAAGGUUAGAGUGAUUGCAAAGGCCCUGAGAUGGGAUAAGGCUGGCCGGGUGAGUGGAGAGAAAGGCGGCCGGCGUGGCAGGAGUGGAGUAGUGGGCUCUCAGUUCAGAGAGCUGCCUGAUCAGAUCACAUAAGGUCUUAAAGGCUGGUCCAAGGAGGUUAGAUGUUAUUCUUGCUAUGAUGGGAAGACACUGGAGGGUCUUGAGCAGGGGAGUAACCUGACCUGAUUUAUAUGUUUAAAAGACCCCUCUGUCUGCUGGUGGAGAAGGGACUGCAGGGCCCAGCGGGGGCAGGGAGAGCUGGCCAGCCAUGGGGGGAAACAGUGGCUCCCAGCUGGGUAUAAAGUGGGCAGACGCUGGGCCCCCCGGUCCAUUCCUAUUGUGGUUCGUUGUUUCCUUCUACCUAUCCUGGUCAUCUGAGGAGUUUCAAUGCACGUGUGAAGGCCAGAUGGGGACGAUUCUGGGGGAUCUUCAGACUUCAGUGCAGCUUUGAAUUAAAA